UGCCAGUGUACUCCAGCCUGGGCAGCAGACUGAGACUCUGUCUCAACAAUAACCACAACAAAAAACCACAAACUGGCAGAAAUUGGCCUACAGGCCAUUUAUUUCCAACUUCACUCAAAUGGACCUUCCUCCUAGAAAGGAAAACCAUCCUCAUUUAAUAUUAAGGGACUAAAAAUGAAAAGAGGUGUCAGUAUAUACAUUCUGAUCACAUCCGUACUUGGAAGUUCAUACAAUGAAUUCAUCAAACUCUCAUUCUUCUUCUGGGGAAAUAUCUAAACUCCAUUGCAUUUCCUUAUUCCACUGUGGCCCAUUGUGGAUUGUGUGUUAUAUUUGAAUAUAUCAAAUCUAGCAAAUUGACAUUGAAAACCAAACAUAUCAGAGACAAACUAUAGAAACACAAUAGAGAAAAUAAAUCCACCUCUGCCAAAGUAUGAUCUUUCCAAUCAUUUCAACUCCUAAAAGUAGAAGGAAGCUUGGAACUGGAGGUGUUAAGGAGUUUGCUUGGAAAAAGCAAUGAAAUAAAUAUUGCUGUCUUUCAAGAAUAUAUAUGUCUAACUCACCUCAGGGUUUGGACCUGGGUGUUGAAUGAACUGAGGAUCUCUUUGGCAAGAAGCUCUAGUAGAUGACAAAUUCUUACUCUUGUUGUAUUGCUCAAAGAAUGCCCCCUACUUCUUGAUAGCAUUUCUGAGGUGCCAGAGCUUCAGGUGAUAAAUGACAUUUUUAUUCUUGACAUGUUACUCUUUAUUAUAUCAUUGAGAAAUAAAGUUCAAUAAGUGACUUCUGAUAAUACUUUACUGCGGUCUUUAUGAAAGAUCGAUUCCAUUAAGUAGGUACAUUUCAGUUGCUAUUACUUCAAGUGAUGCCAUAAUGUACUUGAAAUUCAGUCUUUAGUUAAUAAUAGCAAGCUUAUUGAGUGUAUUAGAGAUGUGCUAAAGUACUUACUUUUGGGCCUGGUAUCAGCCAAGACAUAGUAUUUUAGACUUGCAGGCUUUCCAUGUAUUUCCCCCAAAAUCUUAUACAUAUAUAUAUAUAAUUUAAUAUGUAUCUAUAGUGUAUAUAUAUGUCUAAUAUAUAUAUGACAGAGUAUCUUACAUAUGGCAUAGCAUUUUAUUAUAUAUGUCAUGGUGUUUUAGACCUGUAUGCUUUCCAUGUAUUUUCUCCCAAAUCUAAUAUAUAUAUAUAUAUAUACACACACACACAUACAAUUUUUGAAAUGCAAAUAUGUGUGCAAUCAUUUUUUAGGGUAUUAUCAUUUAAUAUACUAAGGUAACCUCAUUGAUUAAAACUUGAAAUAUGACUUUACUCGAAGUCACUUGGGAAAUAUAUUGAUGGUCAUGCUAUUCAUAAAAAUGAACUCAAGUCUACCUGUCUAGAAACUGAGCAAUGUCACUUGAAAAGAAUACAGCAGUAAGAAUAAGAAACUAAACCAAUUAUAGUUUUUACAAAUAAUUAUUCUUAUGAUCAGGAGUAAUAGUUGUGUGCAGUGAAAAAGGGUGUAAUAUUAACUAAAGACUAGAGUUUGAUUUCUCUCAGCUUUUAGCACUCAAGAAAAUGUGAUGAGAAUGUCUGGGCUAAGCAGGAUGGAUAAACUUUAACAAAAAAGUUGUAAAAACAGUACAAGGAACUUUCAUAUCCUGAAGGGGCAAUUUUAAAAGUAAUUGUGAAAUUUUAAUAACAUAGGGAAGUACUCAUUCAUCUAUUGUUAAGUUAAUAAGCAGCCUAAAAAUUGGCUUACACAUUAUAGAACCAAUUAAGCUUUAAAAAAACAAAGAGAAACUCACACAGAAAGGAGACUGGAAGCAUGUGCUCAAAAAUAUUAACAGCGGCAUGCAUACAUAAUAGGAUUAUAGAUGAUUUUAUUUGUGUUUUUCAUUUUUCUGAUUUGUUAAAUAAUAAAAAAUUCCUGUAUGCAAAGAAAGCAUGUUUAAGUAAAAGUAUAUUGUAUUGGUAGUGUUAAAUGUGCUUGUGCCAUUUUUAUUCAGGUAGGGGUGUGUGUGUUUGUGUGUGUGUGUUUCUGCACAUUGAUAAUAGCAAAAUACCAGUUGUAUCAGUGAUCCAUGAUGAAAUUGUUAACACUGAUGAUGCUAUUUCACUGUGGAAUUUUCUUGUGAUGUUGAGAAUCUUCUUUGUUAGUUUUUUUAGAAGUAAAAGCUUAUCAUAAGGAAAGUAUCAAAAAAUUAGGAUUUGAAAUUUGUAAUUAAUAUUAAUUUAAUAACUCAACUAAACAAAUUACAAAUUUUAGGAUUUCAUUAUGAUGUAGCUUCAUUGCUUUAGCAUGAAUUUCUCUCUACCAUCAGAAAAUAAACUUCUUACCUGUCCAGUAUGGAGCAUGUAGACAAUUUUGUGGCCAGCAUGAAAUUUUUACAGUGAUGAUACCAGCAAACACCUCCAAGAUAUAAUGUCAGAUCUGGUUAAUCAGUAUGUUAAAAUAUGUUUGAAUUUGUCUUGAUUAGAAAAAUAGCAAUCAAAGCAUUCAACUCUUUUCACUUGUUGAGACAGAUGGCCUAUCUUUAUGAAGGCAAAUAUCCAAAAACAACAACCCACUACCUUAUCUUUCAAAAUAUGGUGCUCAGAAUCAUCUUGGAAAAGAGCUAUUUAAGCCUAAUAAGCCAUAUGCUUGAUGAAUUGAUUUAUUCCAUUUUGUAGUAUAGACAUAAAAAUCUUCUUUGCAGCAUCUUUAUCAUAUCUGCAUUCUCUGCAACUCAUUUAUAAAAAUUAGCAAAACUUCCAAAUAAGGAAUAAAUUAUUAUAGAGAAUUCAGCUUCUGUGUCUUACAAAAGAAAAAAAAAAAUGUGUCUAAGUGAACAGUCUCUGAUUUGCCAGAUAUUCUCCCCAUAAAGUUCUGUGUAUUUGAAGAGCAAAUAAACUGACAGCUUCCUUGGUAUGCAUAAAGCAGGUCUAAAAUUAUUCCAGAAAGAAUCCCUCAGAGAAAUGCAACUUCCCUGUCAUUCUUAUGUAUUAUUUAAGGUAGAGAUUGACCAUGGGCAUAGAAGAAAUAUACAAUGUUUCUGGGUCCUAAAAGAAGAGAGUUCAUAUACUUUUUAAUUUUAUGUAUUUUAAGAUAUAUGUCAGUGCAUUGUAUUUAGCAUGGAAAAGAAUGUCCUAUCAAAAUAAGCAGCUACUCCUGCAUGUAGUUUAGUGGCAAACCCACCUAUUAACCUCUAGCCACAACCAAAUAACCCCACACUUGAAACCUGAGGUUGAUUAGAUGAACCUUUGUUCCCCAUAAAAUUCUUUAAAAUUAUACAUUUCAUUAAAAGAGGAACAUAUUUGGUCAACUUAGAAACACAUUGUUGUGCAAUAGAAGAGCAUGGCUUUGUUAUUAGAUGGAGAUGCAUUCUAAAUCGGAAUCCACCAUUUGCUUAACUGGGAACUGCUGGGUACAUUAUAUAAACUCCCUGAGGCUGAGAGAGGAUAGGAAACUGUGAUGAGAGGAAAGAUUCAUACCAGUAUCCACAGGUAAAGAAUUUUGCCAGGACUCAGAGAACAGCAUUCACUCACUGAAGUGUUAAUGGCAAAGCAAAUCUAGGUGCAAAGUUGGCUGACAGGUCCGCCACAGGAAGAUUUCUGUCUAUCACCAUUUCAACUGUAGGAUAGGUAAGUCCCUUUUCAUGAAACAGUGCUGGGAGGAAAUUGUAUCAUUCUUUCCAAUAAGUGACUCUUUAAAUGAAAAAAAACUACUACAGCUUUAACUUUACAUUCAAAUAAAUGAUAUAUGCAUAUUUGUAGCAUGUAUUUUACCUGUUGUACACUUUCUAGCAUUAUGUUUUCAGGCUAGUUUUCCUUCAUAAUAAAUUAACUUAUUACUCUUCAUGACAUGCAAGAUGGACUGUGAUGUUAAAGAAUAAUGUUUUCUAAUUAUCAUUGACAUUUGCAGAGAAGAUUAAAAUUUAAUAAAAUUAAUUGUCCAUUCUUGAAUGGCUUACUUUGCAGUUAAUCAUAGAACUCUGAUUUCUCUUACUCUUAUGAAAACUUCUGAAUUUCCUGUGUCUUAUUAAUAUCCAUAGUAAACCCAGCACUUAGAAAGUAAGUUAGAUUUUUUCCUUCUGUUGACAUUGUUGAAGCAAAAAAAAAAGUACUGAUUUUGAAAAAAUUCUAUGGUUGAAGUUUUUCAACUGAAACCUUUACCAGUAAUCUCACCCAUCUUAUUAGGAAAACCUAACUUCUGGAGGUUAUGUUGAAUGGUGAGGAAUGUAUCCUCUUCGCCGUGGUACAUCUCUAGUAAUAUAAUUUGAAGUGCUAGGGCCCCUUGCAUCCAUUUCUGAAUCUAUUAUUAGUUGAUUAAAUUAGCUGGCUGGAUCAGUACAGUGAGAAGAGACGCAGUAAUGAUAUUAUAGAAUUAGUAUGCUAUGAUGAAUUGUCAGGAGAAGUAAUUGUGACAGCCCUGUGGCCAUAUGCACUUAGCCAUGCAAUUUAUAGUCAUUUGGAGAGCCAAGGACUUUUCAGUUUGGGUUAGGAAAUUUGCUCCUGCUUUUGACAUAGUUUGAGGGAUAUGUGUGUAAGAGUGAAGGGGGUGCUUAGCAGCGAUUCAGGAAGAAAUCAAAAGUCUCACUUCUUAGCCAUUGGCAUUUGGAUGAUUUUCAGGGAAUAAGCCAGUGUGUGGAUGCCUUUAUUGUAACAGUGCCAAUUCCUUUAAAUAGAUUUAUAUGAUAGUGCCGUUACUUUAUGGUUGCUGAAGAUAACGUUACUUUGGGUAAGAUAAAAGUAAAUGCAAUCUGGUAUCACAAUUUCCCUUGUUAUGGAACACUGUAAAUUCUCAUCCAUGUACUGCAUUUACAGCAAUCCUGAAAACAUUGCUGGGGUUGUUUUGAUUUAAAUACAUACGGGGCUCCUAAUUGCAAGUAGUUUUUAAGCAACUUAAAAUAUAACGUUACUUUUUGUUUGUUUGUUUUGCAACUAUUUGCAAGAUAAACGGACUGUCAGGUGCCUCUAAAAGGCUUAUGAUGACAGCAGUUGGCAAUGCAAAUAUUGGCACGACACCACAUUAGGGCAAAUUUAUUGCAGAAUUACCAAAACAUGUAUAACUGUGAAGUCACCUCAGUACAACUAUUAUAUGAGAAUUACUCUCUUGCUGUUUUUGUUUUUGUUUUUGUUUUUGUUUUGUUUUUUCAUUUUAUGACUACCAGGCUACAGUAAUAUUCAGUAGUACAAUGAACAUGCUUACUGACAUUCUAACUCCAAACCAGAUUCAUGCAGAAAACUACUCCUUUUUCUUUUAGCUGUCUAUAGAUAUUUUCUGUGUAUAAUCGAUCGCUUUUAUUUCUCAAACAGGAUUUUCAUUUGAUUACAGAUGAUUGUUUCGAGAUCAUUCAAAUCAAUCAAAUGAUGUUUGAUUACAUAGAUUGUUUCGUUUUUCUUUUCUUCUCUUGUCAUUGUUUUAUCCAUUGUUAACUCAAUGUCAAUAUUUCAAAGAUAAUCUAUAAUCAAAUAUUGUCUUAGGAUCUUAUUUUAUGUCUUAGCCCCUUCUCCAUGUCCCUAAUCUUAAUCACCCAGAAUUACACAUUUAGAAACACUUCUUCAGUAAUUCUGUAGUUGCACAUUUCACUUUGAAGGUAAUAGAAGGGUGUCUGUCACUUCUUCAUUUCUGUGUCCUUCCAGCUCACUAGCACUCUUAUCUGGGAGUUAUUUUUGACUCUCCUCCUUCACCUUCCAAGUCUAAUUUAACACCAACACUUGCUGAUUCCUUCCCAGCACAGUCCAUCCCUGGCCCCUGCCAUCAUUCUAUACUGGAGUGCAGUGCUCCCCUCUUAGUCCAUCUCUCUGCCAUCUCUUCCCAGACCAGUAGAACCUAUAUAUACUGAAUUGCCAGAUGGAUCUCUUAAAUUUUUAUUAUAGCCCCUCAUAUUUCCUCCAUGUGACAUGAGGCCUUUUGCUUAUUCUUAUUCCAGCCUACAGAACUUAUGUGCUUUUUCUCUCCUCUAUCUUACCCUUUCCCUAGCACACAUAGAUGGCUAACUAUAAUUGUAAUUUAUAAAUUUUUGUGCCAGGUACUGUGCUAAGUGCUUUCCAUACAUUAUCUAGUUUAAGCAUCAUGGCAUUCCUACGUGGUAAGUGGUGUGAUUCCCUUUUUAUAGUCAAAGAAACAGAGGUGUGAAACAACUUGCCCACCAAAGUGAAGGUGUAAGAGGAAGAGCCAGGGCCCAAAAGUAGGUCUGUCUGACUUUGUAGUGAAACCAUCAACUACCGUGCAGCACUGGCACCCUGGCUACACGUGGUUGUGUUGCUGUUUCCCUGGUGUGGAUUUGCAUUCAAUAUUCAUCUUUUUGAUAAUUUGUGUUCCUCCUCCCCUUUGUGUACAUUUGGAGACUGACCCCACCUUUCAUUUUGCAUUUUCAUAUUUGUUUUACUGCAUUAAUUUGCAUUGAAUAAUGUGUCACUAAGUAUUUGUGCUUGUACACGUACAUCCUCACCUAGACCACAAUCAAAUUAAACUGCUUUGGAGAGCUGGGCACGGUGGCUCACGCCUGUAAUCCCAGCACUUUGGGAGGCCAAGGUGGGUGGAU